UACGUAGGGUGCAAGCGUUGUCCGGAAUUAUUGGGCGUAAAGAGCUCGUAGGCGGUCUGUCACGUCGGCUGUGAAAAUCCGGGGCUCAACCCCGGGCCUGCAGCCGAUACGGGCAGACUAGAGUGCGGUAGGGGAGACUGGAAUUCCUGGUGUAGCGGUGAAAUGCGCAGAUAUCAGGAGGAACACCGGUGGCGAAGGCGGGUCUCUGGGCCGUAACUGACGCUGAGGAGCGAAAGCGUGGGGAGCGAACAGG
rnacentral:rRNA from 1 species